CAGUCGUACCGAUGGGUAAUCAGCCUUUUUGGGUGCGAUUAUGUGGUUACGUGGAAAAGAAUUUCACGAUUGCGUAUUUGUGCCUCUUGGGUGUACUUGCCUCGUAUGGUAGGGUUAAACAUCAAUUUCGGGGCAUCAUAAAAAUGGCGGGAGGAAUGUGGCUUCUCCCGGAAGUGUUAUAGCCUCUGGUAGAUGUGAUGACUGAGAUUGAGGAUUGCAACGAAUACCUUCCGGGCUACCUGUCUGGCCUCUGGUCGUCGCUUUGGUGCCGAAAGCGUGCUUAUAGUAUCAAAGUAUGUGGUCAAAAGGUUAGAACGGGAUAAA
rnacentral:rRNA from 1 species